UCACACACACUCGCACGCACGCACACGUUCUCACACGCUGUAAAUGUUAAAAGAGUGGGUGCAUUUUUUUUUAUUACUCGCUAUUUCGCCUCCCUCCGAUUUUUUACGCCUUUUUACUGUAUGCGACGAAUGACGUCAGAGAAACGUCAGUAGGCUAUAAUCCAUGGUCUAUGCUGAGAAUCGUCCUCGUCCGCAUCGCGAUGCAUCGUAGAAACAAAUAAUUUCAACACACCCGUCUCCAAUACUGCUUGUUUUUGGAUUGUGGGGAAACUGGAGAACCCGGAGUCUGCUAGCGUUACAAACGCAGCAUAGCCUACAUCGGAUCUUCACUCGAAGCGAACGACGCGCCGGCGCAACUAUUAAGUUUCAUUGCCGUCAAACGAAUGCGCGACCAGGGCUGAAACACAACGCGACAUCGCUGUGAUAUGUAGCAAAGUUGCCGUGCGCUCCACUGGCUAGAAGCGAUGUUGAUCUAGUGCGCUAGCGUUGCAGCUGUGGUCGCGCUAUGCCUGACAGACGAGAUGGCACAAGACUCCCUUUGGCUGCUGUUGCUGCUCUUGUCAUGUCCAAACAUUUACUAAAUGUUUUUGAGUAUUCUGAUUGUAAAAGACUGACUUGCCAUUGAAUAAAAAAUAUUGAAUAUGAACUGUUCCUGUCCUAUAUGUAUAGAGAGAUUUUAGACUGUAUUUAUAUUAUUUAAAAUUAAAAACCAAUGUUAAAUUGAAUGACCCAGCACUGAUUAAAAAAAACAACCCAGCAAAUGGAUUAAUGUAUCCAUUUGCUGUGUUCUGUCCAAUCGGUCUUUGUCAGGUGACGUCACACUCGUGAAACCCGAAGUGCAUUAUGGGUGUCGCCGCCAUUUGUAAGGUAUCCAAACAAUCUCUGUAUCAGUGCGGAGUUGUUGUUUUUUCUUUGGCUUUUUUCAUUGUAAAAAUGGCACACUUUUGUUGUGUGAAAAGCUGCAAUAAUAUGUCCCACGAUAGAAAAUGUCAAAAGCUUUACUACGAGGCAAGAUUUAGCCGGUUUCCUAACGUUACUUGAAAAAAGGCUGUACGGAGAGUAUGUAGAGGCAAUAACAGAGGCGCCGGAUCGCAUGGGUUGCAGCGGUGAGACGCAAAACAUCACUUUCGUCAAGAUAUCUCCAUUCAUGUAUGCUUGCUCUCUACAUUUUCACAAAGGUCAACCUGCUUAAAGAUUAUGGAGACUGACCCCAACUGGACACCAUCCCUCCCUACAUUAGGGCCACACCAGCAUUAAACACACAGUUAGGGCACUGAUCAGGACUGUCUCAGUCGCAAAAUUUGUGUACACAAUAUACUGAUUCAAGAGCUCAGAGCUGAUUGAGAUGCACACACAGACACUAAGUAAGGAAAAACAAUGCAGUCAGCUGACACUAAUGGUCCAUCAGGCUGGAGAAAGUGAUCGGCUUCACACUGAGAAGAUGCAGGAGGAGAUGGUGAUCUGCAUGUGCAUAAAUAAACCGACAGCUGCAGCAUGGACUUGAUAUGUACAGGAUGUCUGAUGUUUGUUUUGGAGAUGAUGAUAGUGUUAAUGUACUAUACGAGUCUGCCAAACCUGAGAACCUUUAUGGCGUUAUUACAUUUUUUUUUUUUUUUUUGGUGCCUCUGAUUCCAGACGCAACAAACAUUCACAAUACAAAUACAAAUUUCAAAUGCUUCUGUGAACCUUAAUGUUCCCUUAGAUUUGAUCUGCCUGCACAAUACUUAUCUCUCAUGUUUCCCCAAAGACCGUAUACAGAACAUUCAAUGAAACGGUGUCAUAUCUAUAUGCAAACCUGAAGUUUUCAGCUGUAUGGGCAGACAGAGAUGAUUUGCACAGAAAUGUCUCCUUUGUUUUAAAUAAAGAGUAGCAGAGAUUAUUGACUGUUUUGAGAUUUUCACAGAGAAACCAUCCAAUCUGACAGCACAUGCUUGAAUCUUUUGUAGAAUUGUAGUGUAGAAAUGUGCUGAUGUAUUGCACCUAGAAUACUAUAUAUAAUUUUAUAUUUUGUGCAGAUGCUUGCAUGAACAAUAAAGCAUGUAUAAUUACAUUUUUCAAAAUGUUGUUUGUCUUCUUGUAAUCAACAUUUCAACAGCCAAAUGAAGUAUGCAAACCAAAUGUUGUACACAUAGGGUGAUUUGUAGAUUUAUUUUAUGAAUUCACAGGUAUAUGCACUUAUAGCAUUAACAAGAUAAUAAUAAUAUCCACGAUCUGUAAACCUGAUAUUUAACUUAUCCAUGAAUGAGGAUGGAUGCAGUGAUGUUAUAAAAUCAUGGCAGAAUAAAAAAUAUAUACAUAUUUUACAUUUUAAGAUAUUUUGAUCACAAAUUAAAUGGCUGUAUUGUAGGGCUGAACGAUUAAUCGCAUUUGCGAUAAUAUCGCGAUAUGACAAAACGCGAUUUUUAAACCGCAAAUGCUGCGAUUACACGCUCGUCAUGUGACACGCUAGAGGAAGCAGUCUGCAGAGGAAGCAUCAAUUUGACACGAUACGCAUAUGCCUGGCCUACAGAAAAGCACAGUUUAUGUUUAAUCUAUCUAAUAUUGUGUUGUUCAUACAAUGGAGAUGGGAGAAAAUAUUCUCUCUCUAACGAUUCUGAGCUUAAUCUUCAGAUACUUUUAAAUACUGAAAGCACUCUUUGUUUAUUGCUUGUAAUAUGUUUUAUUUUUUUCCUUUUUAUUUUUCCCCCCUCCUCUUUAUUAUUUACUAGCUUUUCCCCCAGUUUCACAGACAAGCCUUAAGCCUAUUCGCAGACUAAAAUAAAUGUUUGAGCUGUCUUAACUGAAAGCAACUUGCAGUGACAUGUCUUAAAAUAUGUCAGUGCCAUUGUUUUGUCUCAAGAUGCACACCAUUAAUGUUUUUUUUUUUUGCUUGUUUGUUUUUGUAAGGCAUGUUUAUAAAAGCUACUUAGAUGUCCUAAUAAAACUAAGGCCUAAUCCUGGCUUAAUCUAAGCCCUGUCUUAUAUUAGUUUAUUUACAAUCAUUAACAUGCAAUUGUUUUAAUAAAAUUUUUAAUGUGUAAAUAUUUUAAAAAGUAUAAUAAUACAUUAUAAUUACAUUAUAAAAACGUUUUAUUAAUAAGACUAAUCAAUAAGAAAAAAAGAUCAAGAAUCGUUUUGGAAUCGGACUGCGACUCCCAGAAUCGGAAUCGAAUCGUGAGGUGCCUAAAGAUUCCCACACCUACAAUGAUUUAUUGCUUGUCUUUGUUGAAUAAUACAGAAGAUAAAGAGCUUAAAAAUAAUCGCAUAUUAAAUCGCAAUCGCAAUAUUGGUAAAAAAAUAAUCGCAAUUAGAUUAUUUUUCAAAAUCGUUCAGCCCUACUAUAUUGGCCUUUGGACGGUUAAACCGAAUGAACUUUUGACAAUUUAAAAUCUUUAAAAUACCUUUAUUUGUAGCAUAAUAUAAUUAAAACCUUUUGGAUUCAAUAAAAGAGAUCUAGUUGAACUACCUUACAUACUUUGGAUGUCAUACCUUUGUUUUUAUUAUUACCUUACCUGUAGCGUCCAGUCGAAAGAAGUUAGCCAGAACUGAUGGUUUAGUGACUUUUUAAUUUUCUUUAGUUUCCUUGCAGGUCAUAAACCAACGUAAGAGGUGAACACAGAAUAAACAAAACAACGUGUCACUCUCACUCAAACAUUAGCCAUUUUCAUUAACAUUUUAUCAGUAUGUACCACAGCUUAACAAAACACAUCCUCUACACUGUAAUACCUUGUUGCCACUUUAGACUGAGGCUAUAUUCCUUAUCUCUUUAACCUUUGUUGCCGCUUCACCUUCUCUUUAUCGCUAGCGAUCUUUUUCUUUUGCCUUUUUUUUGUGUGUGUGUAUUAGAUCUCCCCGCGCAUACCGUUCUUUCAAAAUAAAAGCCAGUUUCGGCUAAACAGGAAGUGUCAAAAUAAAAGCAUAUAAAUGAAUGUAAUCGUAAUACUUUGAGGUCCUUUACAUUACCUCUGCUGUUACUACUGUGUUGUCGCAGUCCUUCGGUCGGAAUAUAAAUAAAACCUGCACCCAUCCAUUAGUGAAAUGUCCGUUGGCUUCGAGGGAUUUAUAGUUAUUAAAUUGUUCACUAGUAUAUGCGCUUACACCAUAAACAAGAUAGUUUACAAUAUUUAAGUAUGAUGAUUUAGGUAGCAAUGCGGGGUCAGCACUCCAACUUACUGCAGUCAGCUCGUACAGAUCUAUGUUAUAAAUGACAAUUUCUCCAAAUAAUGGCCCCUGGCAUCUUUGGUGAGUUUAUUGCGAUAUGACUUUUUCACAGUUUUCUUGUGCUUCUCCAUUUUUGCGAGUUAUUUACUUGUUAUCUCUACUCUUGUAAUCUCUUUCAUUCUCACAGUCAGCAGGGAUACCACAAAUAUGGCGCCGCGGUGACAAACAACAAACUCACGUGUCUGACAAAGACCGAUAUUUACCCAGCGCUGGGUUGCCAAAUAACCUAAAUUGGGUUGUUUUUAACCCAGCAUUUAUGUGUUUUUAAAGAUGCAAAUGAUAGUUUUAAGUUAGUUAGAGGUAGUUUAUGGUAACUUGUUUUUACCCAGUUCCAUCUUUUCAUAAAAUGCACCGAAUAGAAGUGUUGAUCCCAGGCAGACAGAGCAUUUUUUUUUUUUUUUUUUGGUUUCUGAUCAACUGCUAAAAGACUGAAUGUCAGCAUUGGUUUUCAGCGCGAAUGCCGCGAUAACACACAAAACACAUUCAAAAUGGGAAAGAGCUUUGUGAUUGACUGUACAAAUAGAUUUGACAAGAAAUCUGAGGUAUAUUUUUACAGACUGCCGAAAGCUACAGAAAAGAGAAGCAAAUGGAUCGCUGCAAUUCACAGAAAUAACACUCCAGGCAGUGAAAUGUGGAUUUGCAGCUAUCAUUUUGUCAAUGUAAUGAAUUUUGGGGUAAAAUUAUACCCUAUAUAAAAACUAUACAAGUUUUAGGACUGGAUGGUAUAUAUAACAUUGAUAUAAGUGAUCAACCGGAUUCAGACCUACCUGUAUUAAGCGUUCACAGGAAAAUUUGCUUUAUGUAUUUCCCCGGCGUUGAAAUCAGGCACAUAUAAAUGUCUGGAAACACGAUUGCUGGCUGCAAGUCAAUAUCCAUGGAUUACUGGAUCUUUGCUAAGUUGUAACAGGAACACUAUUGAGUCCAACCUUUAGUUUAAUCAUUUGUCUUACUCGUGUUUUACUCACGUUUUCACAGUUUCUCCUAUUAAAUCAUGCAGCAGGCUCUUUUGCAACUCAGUCCGGCUGAGGGAGCAUGUUCCAGCGGGAAAGUGACGUCAAUGCAUACCCGCUAUAGCGAGCUAGCUUUCAAAUCAUAACAUCACACCCUCCCUUCAGCGCUUUCUCCAAAAUCACAUUUAGGCACACACACACAGCUAAUCUCGGCAAAGCAUCACAAGAGACGGUGUUAAACUAUCUCAUGUCUCAAAGCACAUAACAUUACAAUAAUAAUGAACGUAAAAAACUUAGAGAGCUUGUCCCCGACUGCUGCAGAUUCAUUUUGGUGUUGAUACUGUUGACAUGGAAACACAUAAUUCCGAGUCUGAGGACGUGAACAGCUCCAGUUAGCACCUCACAGGUUACAUGUAAAAACAUAUGUUGACAGGCAGGUAGGACAUCCUAUUAUUUCAUUCGGACCGAAUAUAAUGAUUGGACAUAUAUUCCACAGACAAUAUAAAUUUAUAAAAAUACAUUUAGACUGUUUAACAUAGUAAUUGCUAUCAGGAUAGGAGGAGACUUUCAACCAGUAUAACAAAAAAUAUUUCUGUAGAGAAUUACCUAUUGCACCUUUAAGAACUGAAUCGAUACAUGAAGGCCUAUAGACAAAAGGUAAGACAAAGCGAUAAUCUGUUAAACAAGCCGUCAACACUGCUAUUUAACAUUAUGAACAGAUGGAUGUGACGAGUAGCCAAUGCAAACAUGCUGGAGAUGAAAAUGUGCCCAUCAACUGAAAAUCCAUUUUUGUUUCAAAUUCUACAAUUGUGGUGGAACAAAGUCACCACUCGCUUUGCUGUUAACAUCUGGUUCUCAAAAAGUGACUUCUGAAAUCUUAUCAUCACAUAUUCAAAUAUACCGCGUUGAUAGUGUGGUUGCGAGAACCAGUGAGGUUUGUGUGCCAUUGCUUCUUCUCCGCCUUUUGGUUCCUUUUAAGGUGUCGAGCGCGCUCAUUGAGUAUUGCACUGCUCUUACGCAAACAAACAGAAGUUCUCGAGUGCGCACCAGAUUUGAAUGCAGGGAGGUAAGAUUUAAUAACAACUCAUUUCGGUCUGUUUUCAUACAAAGCAACUGGAAUAUUAAAAAAAAAAAAAAAAAAAAAAUUGGAA